AAUUGGCACAUCGUGUUUUACUUCAACAAUGUAUUGUUAUUGCAUGCUUCCCGUCUUACCCUUCUCUUGUCCAUAUUCAUUCUUCAAACUGCAGUGCUUCUAGGCUUCAGAUGUCCUCUCCUCCCUGCCUCUGAUAUGGGCCCUUGAGUUACAAACAUUUUUUCUAGGAAAUAUUGAUGUUUGAAUUUCUCUUGCGCUUCCACAGCUUGUUAACGAUUAUUAUAUUUUCGUCUUUUUUGUAUCUUUUUUCAGACCUGACACAUUAGAUCCUGCACUUUUACGCCCUGGACAAUUAGAUCGUCAGGUUGAGUUUGGCUUACCCGAUUCGGUUCGAGCUCUUGGCUCGCCUUUGCCCAAAUUCCACUGGAGCUGACAUAAGGAGUGUCUGCACCGAAGCUGGAAUGUUUGCCAUCCGCGCCCAAAGGAAAACCGUGAUAGAAAAAGACUUCCUUGAUGCAGUUAACAAAGUCAUCAAAGGGUACCAGAAGUUUAGUAAGACGCCUCAGUGCAUGGUGUAUAAUUGAGGGAACCACUCCAAAGAGGUCUGAACCCCACUGGUAGGGCCUUCUUUGUUUUCAUUUAUUCUUGAAAAAGUUUCUUGAAAACUUGAAUAGUGAAUUUUGAGAAGUAUGCAAUUACCUCUAAUUUGUUUAAUUUAAAUUUUGGGAGUAACCUAUUACAACCUGCGGGCAAGUAGGCCAAUACAUAUAAUUAAUAUGUAUCAAAGUGAUAGAUUAUCAGUUGUGGUUAUUACUCAAAUGUAAGUUGAUGAUAAUGAACCUUGAUAGUGGUCAUUAUAUAAAAUUAACAUGCUUUUGGAUAAUAGGAAAUAUCUAUUAAAGAA